rnacentral:rRNA from 1 species
UAUUGUUCAAUGGGCGAAAGCCUGAACCAGCAACGCCGCGUGCGGGAAGAAGGUUUUCGGAUUGUAAACCUCUGUCGCAGAUGCCGAAGAAAGUGACGGAAAUCUGUGAGGAAGCCCCGGCUAACUACGUGCCAGCAGCCGCGGUAAUACGUAGGGGGCGAGCGUUGUCCGGAAUUACUGGGCGUAAAGGGUGCGUAGGCGGUUCUUUAAGUUGGAUGUGAAAUACCCGGGCUUAACCUGGGGGGUGCAUUCAAGACUGGGGAACUAGAGUUCAGGAGAGGGAAGCGGAAUUCCUAGUGUAGCGGUGAAAUGCGUAGAUAUUAGGAGGAACACCAGUGGCGAAGGCGGCUUUCUGGACUGACACUGACGCUGAGGCACGAAAGCGUGGGGAGCAAACAGG